rnacentral:rRNA from 1 species
UACAGAGGGUGCAAGCGUUGCUCGGAAUCAUUGGGCGUAAAGGGGAGGUAGGUGGUCUCAUUUGUCCGGGGUGAAAUCCUUGAGCUUAACUCAAGAAGUGCCCUGGAAACGGUGAGACUGGAGUCCUGGAGAGGGUCGUGGAAUUCCCGGUGUAGCGGUGAAAUGCGUAGAGAUCGGGAGGAACACCAGAGGCGAAGGCGGCGACCUGGACAGGUACUGACACUGAACUACGAAAGCGUGGGGAGCAAACAGG